UACGUAGGGUGCAAGCGUUAAUCGGAAUUACUGGGCGUAAAGCGUGCGCAGGCGGUUAUGUAAGACAGAUGUGAAAUCCCCGGGCUCAACCUGGGAACUGCAUUUGUGACUGCAUCGCUGGAGUGCGGCAGAGGGGGAUGGGAUUCCGCGUGUAGCAGUGAAAUGCGUAGAUAUGCGGAGGAACACCGAUGGCGAAGGCAAUCCCCUGGGCCUGCACUGACGCUCAUGCACGAAAGCGUGGGGAGCAAACAGG
rnacentral:rRNA from 1 species